rnacentral:rRNA from 1 species
UGGGGAAUAUUGGGCGGAUGGGCGCAAGCCUGACCCAGCAACGCCGCGUGAAGGAAGAAGGCUUUCGGGUUGUAAACUUCUUUUCUCAGGGACGAAGAAAGUGACGGUACCUGAGGAAUAAGCCACGGCUAACUACGUGCCAGCAGCCGCGGUAAUACGUAGGUGGCAAGCGUUAUCCGGAUCUACUGGGUGUAAAGGGCGUGUAGGCGGGACUGCAAGUCAGAUGUGAAAACUCAGGGCUCAACCCUGAGCCUGCAUUUGAAACUGUAGUUCUUGAGUACUGGAGAGGCAGACGGAAUUCCUAGUGUAGCGGUGAAAUGCGUAGAUAUUAGGAGGAACACCAGUGGCGAAGGCGGUCUGCUGGACAGCAACUGACGCUGAGGCGCGAAAGCGUGGGGAGC